CGCCGGAAGCCCCCUGCUCUGUGGGAACCGGAGGGAGGACAGCGCGAGGUCCCCGGACAAAGCGUGGCGCAUAAGUCCGGCCCGUAACUUGGUGGGCAGGCAACUUAGGGGAUGUGGGCCUGGUUAUAGCUGAGCAUGCUUUUCUAUUCCUCCCAGACCACAGUUCUUCAGACCUGGAGCCACUUUCAGAGAAGAGUAUAAGUUGCACUGAAUUGAAAAAGGGAAAAGUUUAGGACUGCAGAAGAUGGAAUUCCUGGGGACGUUAAACUGGGCUAAGAUGGAGCAGAUAAGAUUUCCUUAAUUAGAGCAAGACACACCUAGUAUCUAGAGCCUGGAAGUCUUGGUCAAGGAUUCUCCCUAACAUCUCAGUUUCUCAGCACUAACAUUCCUGCUACUAAAAUGAAGUGAGAAAUUAAUUUCUGAAGUUAAGUAAAGAAAUAAACUAAAAUUCCUAGAAAAGAGGUAAGAAGAAUGAGCCUUUGAAAAAUGUCUUCACAAAGACUGGCAUGAUGGCAUGGAAGAAAGAGCCCCAGAUAUCCAGUAUACAUCUCAAGGUCAACUUGUCCAAAACAGAGCUACUGAUGAUUUUCCCCUUGAAAUCUACUCUUCCUACAGCUUAUUCAUCUCAAAUAGUAAGUCUGUCCUUGCAGUUACUCAAGCAGAAACCUUUGGGUUUUUGGUUUGGCCUCUUUGUUCCACACCUCACAUCUAAUCCAUCUGGAGAUUGACUCUACCUUUAAAGACAUCCUAACUUUCACCAGUUAACACACCUCCCCUGCUACCAUUCUGGUCCAAGCCGCUUCUUGAUCACUGCAAAAAGCCUGCAAACACAUCUUCCUGCUUCCCUUAUUGUCCUUCUUCCCCCUACAGUCUGGUAUCAGCAGAGCAGCUGUGUGAUUAUUUUAAGAUCUAGGUUAGAUCAGAUCACUCUUUGGCUCAAAACCCUUUAAUGGCUCCCUAUUUCACUUCGAGUAAAACCCAGAGUCCUUUCUAGGGCCUUCCCUUAGGCUGUUCUUGCAUGGCUAUAAAGAAAUACCUGAGACUGGGUAAUUUACAAAGAAAAGAGGUUUAAUUGGCUCAUGAUUCUGCUGGCUUUACAGGAAGCAUUAUGUUGGCAUCUGCUUGCUUUUGGUGAAGUCUCAGGGAGCUUUCAAUCAUAGAAGGUGAAGGGGGAACAGGCAUGUCACAUGUUGAAAGCAGGAGCAAGAGAGAGAGCAAAAGAAAAGAGACAGAGAGAGAGAGAGGUGCCACACAUUUUUAAACAGCCAAAUCUGAUGAGAACUCACUAUCACUAAACAAGCACCAAGCCAUGAGGGAUCCACCCCCAUGACCCAAGCAUGUCCCACCAGGCCCCACCUCCAGCAUUGAGGAUUACAACACAACAUGAGAUUUGAGCAGGGACAAAUAUCCAAACCAUAUCAGUUCUCAAGCUCUUCCAUAUUCUGACACAGUCUCUUACCAUCUGAGCACUCCUCCUUCCACUCUCCCCUUUUUUACUCUGCUCCAGUCACACUUGCUUCUUUGCCUUCCUCAAACACCAGUGACACACUCCUGCUUUUGGACCUUUUCUUUAGCUUUUCUGUCUGCCUGAAACACUCUUCCCCAAUAAGUCCAUGUGGCUAACUCCCUCUCCUCCCGAGUCCACUCAAAUAUCUUCUCAGGGAGCCCUACCCUGACCACCUCAUUUAAAAUAACAAAUUACCUUCUCCCAGG
rnacentral:lncRNA from 1 species